rnacentral:rRNA from 1 species
GACAGAGGGUGCAAACGUUGCUCGGAAUCACUGGGCGUAAAGGGCGUGUAGGCGGGUAGGAAAGUCAGAUGUGAAAUCCCUGGGCUCAACCCAGGAACUGCAUUUGAAACUCCCUUUCUUGAGUGUCGGAGAGGAAAGUGGAAUUCCUGGUGUAGAGGUGAAAUUCGUAGAUAUCAGGAGGAACACCGGUGGCGAAGGCGGCUUUCUGGACGACAACUGACGCUGAGACGCGAAAGCGUGGGGAGCAAACAGG